rnacentral:tRNA from 2 species
GCCAGCAUAGCUCAGUUGGUAGAGCAGCUGAUUUGUAAUCAGCUGGUCGGGGGUUCGAGUCCCUCUGCUGGCUCCC